GUCCCCGUGGCACAACUGGAUAGCGCGACAGCCUCCUAAGCUGUAGGUUACAGGUUCGAUUCCUGUCGGGGACGCCA
rnacentral:tRNA from 1 species